rnacentral:rRNA from 1 species
GACGAACGCUGGCGGCGUGCCUAACACAUGCAAGUGGAGCGACGAACCAGGGCUUGCCCUGGGGCGAAGCCGCGAACGGGUGAGUAACACGUGGGCAAUCUGCCCCGAUGACCGGGACAACCCGAGGAAACUCGGGCUAAUACCGGAUGUGCUCCUGGUCCAUGAGGACCUUGAGUAAAGGAAGCUUCGGCCUCCGCAUCGGGAGGAGCUCGCGGCCCAUUAGCUAGUUGGUGAGGAACGGCUCACCAAGGCCUCGAUGGGUAGCUAGUCUGAGAGGACGAAUAGCCACACUGGGACUGAGACACGGCCCAGACUCCUACGGGAGGCAGCAGUGGGGAAUCUUGCGCAAUGCGCGAAAGCGUGAACGCAGCAACGCCGCGUGGGGGAAGA